CUCGCCAAUUCGUCGACAACAGAGUUUGAUCCUGGCUCAGAUCGAAUUCUUAAACUUGGACCUGGGGUAGUGCCCCCGAAUUCUUAAACUUGGAUCCUGGGAGUGGGGGCGGGAGCCCUCAAGUGAACGUGGAAAUAUGAAUUACCUCUUACCGCAUGGUGGGUGGUGGAAUGUUUUAACUGGUUUUGGAUGGGCUCACGGCCUAUCAUCUUGUUGGUGGGGUAAUGGCUCACCAAGGCAACGACGGGUAGCCGGCCUGAAAGGGUGACCGGCCACACUGGGACUGAAACACGGCCCAAACUCCUACGGGAGGCAACAGUGGGUUAUAUUGCACAAUGGCCGGAAGCCUGAUGCAGCGACGCCGCGUGAGGGAUGACGGCCUUCGGUUGAAAACCUUUCCCAGUAGGGAAGAAGGCGGAAAGUGACGGUACCUGCAGAAGAAGCGCCGGCUAACUACGUGCCAGCAGCCGCGGUAAUACGUAGGGCGCAAGCGUUGUCCGGAAUUAUUGGGCGUAAAGAGCUCGUAGGCGGUUUGUCGCGUCUGCUGUGAAAACCCGGGGCUCAACCCCGGGUCUGCAGUGGGUACGGGCAGACUAGAGUGCAGUAGGGGAGACUGGAAUUCCUGGUGUAGCGGUGAAAUGCGCAGAUAUCAGGAGGAACACCGAUGGCGAAGGCAGGUCUCUGUGCUGUUACUGUCGCUGAGGAGCGAAAGCAUGGGGAGCGAACAGGAUUAGAUACCCUGGUAGUCCAUGCCGUAAACGUUGGGCACUAGGUGUGGGGGACAUUCCACGUUUUCCGCGCCGUAGCUAACGCAUUAAGUGCCCCGCCUGGGGAGUACGGCCGCAAGGCUAAAACUCAAAGGAAUUGACGGGGGCCCGCACAAGCGGCGGAGCAUGCGGAUUAAUUUGAUGCAACGCGAAGAACCUUACCAAGGCUUGACAUUCACCGGACCGCCCCAGAGAUGGGGUUUCCCUUUGGGGCUGGUGGACAGGUGGUGCAUGGUUGUUGUCAGCUCGUGUCGUGAGAUGUUGGGUUAAGUCCCGCAACGAGCGCAACCCUCGUUCUAUGUUGCCAGCACGUGAUGGUGGGGACUCAUAGGAGACUGCCGGGGUCAACUCGGAGGAAGGUGGGGAUGACGUCAAAUCAUCAUGCCCCUUAUGUCUUGGGCUUCACGCAUGCUACAAUGGCCGGUACAAAGGGUUGGGAUACUGUGAGGUGGAGCUAAUCCCAAAAAGCCGGUCUCAGUUCGGAUUGAGGUCUGCAACUCGACCUCAUGAAGUCGGAGUCGGUAGUAAUCGCAGAUCAGCAACGCUGCGGUGAAUACGUUCCCGGCCGAAUUACUCGCCACCCGACUUUGAUCCUGGUUCAGCCGAAUUCGUUGGCAACAGAGUUUGAUCCUGGCUCAGCCGAAUUCGUCGACAACAGAGUUUGAUCCUGGCUCAGCCGAAUCGUCGACAACAGAGCUGUCCUA
rnacentral:rRNA from 1 species